rnacentral:rRNA from 1 species
AUUGAACGCUGGCGGCAGGCCUAACACAUGCAAGUCGAACGAGUUGCGGACGGGUGCGUAAUGUCUGGGAAACUGCCUGAUGGAGGGGGAAAACUACUUGAAACGGUAGCUAAUACCGCAUACCCUCGGCCGUGCCCAGCUGUGCUUGGCUAGUAGGUGGGGUAAAGUCUCACCUAGCCGACGCUCACUAGCUGGUCUGAGAGGAUGACCAGCCAAACUGGAACUGAGGAACGCGCCAGACUCCUACGGAAGGCAGCAGUGGGGAAAAUGGCACAAGCGGCGCAAGACUGGUGCAGCCAUGGCGCGUGUAUGAAGAAGGCCUUCAGGUUUUAAAGUACUUUCAGCGGGGAGGCGUGACCCUCAGAAGAAGCACCGGCUAACGCCGUGCCAGCAGCCGCGGUAAUUC